AGGUAAAGGCACACUCUGUCUUUCAUGUUUUGUGUGAGAAUGUCCACCAUUUUCUGUGAGAGUGUCCACCUACACAGAAAACAGCACUUCUUCAAAAGUGUAGAACUACACAGCGCGGUAUUGUGAUGCUGAAACGUGUCACCCAACAGGGAGUGAAGCUGACAAGUCACAAUCAAUACAUCAACCAGCGUGGGAGAGAGAAUUGUCUCUGGAAAGAUCUUGCACAGAAGAAUUGCAGCCGAAUCUGGAAUCAGACAUAG
rnacentral:lncRNA from 1 species